rnacentral:lncRNA from 1 species
UGACAAUUUUUGUCAUUUUUAAUGAUAUUUGGUGUCUUUUCUUAAUGCCACAGCUCCUGGAUUCAUGUGAUUGUGUCAGAAUCUCAGCUUUGGUUUGAAGAAGAAUUUAAAAAAAAUGGAAUCUAGCCUCCAAGGUCGUGGAGAAAAACUUGAAAACAUGGCUCGUAAAGAUUCAAAAACCCAAAGACCCACAAACCAAGGGAACUGACUAGACAAGUGCUGUCAUGUCUUCUCAAGAGAGCUGCUGAAGAUGCAAGAAUUGCAGCAAAGGGAUACUUAAAGAAAAAUGGGAAAGGUGGUUUAUUUCUGUGUCUGAUUAUUCAGUAUGGUNUUUCUCUUACAUUGCUGUGGAAGACCCACAAACCAAGGGAACUGACUAGACAAGUGCUGUCAUGUCUUCUCAAGAGAGCUGCUGAAGAUGCAAGAAUUGCUGCAAGGGGAUACUUACAGAAAAAUGGGAAAGAUUCAUAGACUCUGGGACCAGAAGGGACCUCGAGAGGUCGAGUCCAGUCCCCCGCCCUCAUGGCAGGACCAAAUACUUAGUGUCGUGGCCUUCACAACACCCUCUGGCAAGGAGUUCCACAGGUUGAUCUUUGUUGUUCGAACAACAGUAGGCAAAAUAUUGCAAAGCUCCUUCCCCCGGCACGCGAGACAGCGACUGGAGCCACGCGGGGCCUUGGAGCCUUGCAGCUGGUGAGUGACCGUGGCCGGCUCUCCGCGGGCGCGCGCCACGGGAGGCGGGCGCAACUUGC